UACGAAGGGGGCUAGCGUUGCUCGGAAUCACUGGGCGUAAAGCGCACGUAGGCGGCUUUUUAAGUCAGGGGUGAAAUCCUGGAGCUCAACUCCAGAACUGCCUUUGAUACUGCCUUGCUAGAGUACUGGAGAGGAGACUGGAAUUUACGGUGUAGCAGUGAAAUGCGUAGAUAUCGUAAGGAAGACCAGUGGCGAAGGCGAGUCUCUGGACAGUUACUGACGCUGAGGCACGAAGGCCAGGGGAGCAAACGGG
rnacentral:rRNA from 1 species